AGGUCUGAGCAGCUGGGAACAAACAAGCAGCCACCCAUCCAUUCCUUCGAGAAGGCCAGAAGACGUCACCAGACCCCAUUACCGAUGGUCGUGAGCCGCCGUGUCGUCGCCGGGACUCGAACUCAGGACCUUGGAAGAGCGGGCCGUGCUCUCACCACUGAGCCGUCCCCCCAGCCCAGGGAACGCUGUGGACGCGCUCCCCAGAAUUCACUCCACAUGGAUCCCGACCCCGAAUAUUAAAUGUUCCAAGCGCAGGACUGGUGGACGACCCCAGGGGGAGCAGAGCGCUCUGACCUCGGUGGCCCGUGUGCCGCGAGCGAGGACAGGAAGACUGAGCAGUAGUCAUGGGGAUCUGUGGGGCUGGAAGAACCCAGGGAUGAUACUGCAGUGUGCCUGACACAGAAAGGGAACCUGGCGAGGGUGGCGGCGCACGCCUGUCAUCCCAGCACUCCCGAGGCCCCGGCAGGCGCACGGAUCUCUGUGGGUCCUGGGUUCGAGUCCAGCCCAGUCUAUGAAGCGAGGGUCAGGACAGCCAGGUCUACACAGAGAAACCCUGUCUUGAAAAAGGAAACAAAACAGGAAGUGGGGAGGGAGGGAGGGAGCCCUGAAUGGGAGUCUGCGGCACAGACAGCUGUUUUGAAGACGUGAAUGCCAAGGAGCUCAAAGAACUCGGGGUUCUCCUGCUUCUGUGUCCCAAGUGCCGGGAUCUCAGGUGUGCACGGUCAGGUGCGCAGGUCAGGUGUGCACGUCCCCCUCCAAAAAGCAUUUUCACGGAUUGAGUAAAGUGGGGGAGGGGGACUUGAAUCCCUGCCGAGCCCAUGAUGCAUAAUCCAUGUAAAUGCCAUGGCGUACGCAUGUUCUGUCCCGCACAUGCAGUCGUAUGUGCUUCCUGUGUGCAUAUGCAGCCAUGUGUGUGCUGGACGGAUCGCUCAGCAGCGAAAUGCCCUGGCCGCUCUUCCGGAGAGCCUGGGUCCCACAACUCCAGUGCCUGUGCAGCGGCUCGCGGCUCUGAGAAAUUCUAGUGCCUGACACGUGGCGCACACACAAACAUGCAGGCGAAACAUGCACACACACACACACAAAUAGUAAAUUUAAAAAAAAAAAACCAAGCCGGUCGGUGGUGGCAUCCACGUCUCUCAGGAAUUCUGUCUUUGAUAUUAAA